CGCGUAGGCGGUUUGGUUCGGUUAGACGUGAAAUUCCUGGGCUCAACCUGGGGGCUGCGUUUAAUACAGCCAGACUUGAGUGUGGAAGAGGGUCGUGGAAUUCCCAGUGUAGAGGUGAAAUUCGUAGAUAUUGGGAAGAACACCGGUGGCGAAGGCGGCGACCUGGUCCAUUACUGACGCUGAGGCGCGAGAGCGUGGGGAGCAAACAGGAUUAGAUACCCUGGUAGUCCACGCCGUAAACGAUGUGCGCUGGAUGUUGGGUGACCUAGUCACUCAGUGUCGUAGCUAACGCGGUAAGCGCACCGCCUGGGGAGUACGGCCGCAAGGUUGAA
rnacentral:rRNA from 1 species